UGUGUUGACCAAACCUAGUGGAUGCA
rnacentral:piRNA from 1 species